UAGUCGACGACCAACGACGUCGGUUUCC
rnacentral:sRNA from 1 species